rnacentral:rRNA from 1 species
CCUGGGAAACUGCAUUUCGAAACUGGCAGGGCUAGAGUCUUGUAGAGGGGGGUAGAAUUCCAGGUGUAGCGGUGAAAUGCGUAGAGAUCUGGAGGAAUACCGGUGGCGAAGGCGGCCCCCUGGACAAAGACUGACGCUCAGGUGCGAAAGCGUGGGGAGCAAACAGGAUUAGAUACCCUGGUAGUCCACGCCGUAAACGAUGUCGACUUGGAGGUUGUGCCCUUGAGGCGUGGCUUCCGGAGCUAACGCGUUAAGUCGACCGCCUGGGGAGUACGGCCGCAAGGUUAAAACUCAAAUGAAUUGACGGGGGCCCGCACAAGCGGUGGAGCAUGUGGUUUAAUUCGAUGCAACGCGAAGAACCUUACCUACUCUUGACAUCCAGAGAACUUAGCAGAGAUGCUUUGGUGCCUUCGGGAACUCUGAGACAGGUGCUGCAUGGCUGUCGUCAGCUCGUGUUGUGAAAUGUUGGGUUAAGUCCCGCAACGAGCGCAACCCUUAUCCUUUGUU